CGCCUGUUUAACAAAAACAUUUCUUCUCAGAAUGAGAAGUAAGGCCUGCUCACUGAAAUUUGAAGAGCCGCAGUAUUCUGACUGUGCUAAGGUAGCAUAAUCAUUAGUCUUUUAAUUGAGGACUGGUAUGAAUGGCUAAACGAGAAAUCAACUUUUUUUACUACAAUACUCUAAUUUAUUUUUUUAGUGAAAAAACUAAAAUUAUCCUAGAAGACGAGAAGACCCUAUAGAGUUUUAUAUAGUUGUAAACUUCAUUGUAGUAGAUUUUUAUUAGUGGGGUUUAAAUCUAUAAUUAGUUGGGGCGACGUAAAGAUAAGAUAAACUCUUUUUUUUGAAAAUUUCUAUAGAAGAAAUGGUUUGAUCCUCUAUAAGAGACCAAAAGAAAAAAUUACCUUAGGGAUAACAGCGUAAUCUUUUUUGAGAGUUCUAAUCGACAAGAAGGUUUGCGACCUCGAUGUUGGACUAAAAUUUAGAUGAGGCGCAGCAGCUUCAUUUUAGGGUCUGUUCGACCCAUAAUAUUUUACAUGAUCUGAGUUCAAACCGG
rnacentral:rRNA from 1 species